AUUGAACGCUGGCGGCAGGCCUAACACAUGCAAGUCGAGCGAGCGGCGGACGGGUGAGUAAUGUAUGGGGACUGUCCGUUAGAGGGGGAUAACUACUGGAAACGCUAGAUAAUACCGCAUACUAUCGGAUAACCCAUAUGGGAUUAGCUAGUAGGUGAGGUAAUGGCCCACCUAGUCGACGAUCCCUAGCUGGUCUGAGAGGAUGAUCAGCCACACUGUGACUGAGACACGGCCCAGACUCCUACGGAGGCAGCAGUGGGGAAUAUUGCACAAUGGGCGCAAGCCUGAUGCAGCCAUGCCGCGUGUAUGAAGAAGGCCCUAGGGUUGUAAAGUACUUUCAGUCGGGAGGCGUUACCGACAGAAGAAGCACCGGCUAACUCCGUGCCAGCAGCCGCGGUAAUUC
rnacentral:rRNA from 1 species